UUGAAGGACUGAUUUGUGUACUGUUCAUAAUUAUGCACUUUUGCCAAGGAGUACCUUUGUGACAAAAGCAAAAUAGCCCCCUCUUACAUGUAUUGAUGAGAGGAUUUGCUACAUUUUCUUGUCACUUUCAAUGAACACAAGUAUUAACUUCUUGUAUGUAUUUUUGCAACACGUAAUAAUGUGCAUAAAAACAAGAUAGGCUGAAUUUCUACUGCAUGUUUCCUUUAAAAAAGUGCCUGUCAUCAAACUUGCUCGACAUUUUCACUGCCACGGUAUACCAACAGAAGUGACAUUUCAGUGGCUUGUUGAGAUGCACUGGUAUACUGCAGCUAUAUUCUCCAUUAUAUACACAUGUUUUAAUCACAAUAUUUCUUUUAAAUAAAGGUUUCACCAAGAGACCCAAGUGUGACCGGCCAGACUUAAAUUCCUGUAAUUAUGCUGCCAGGUCCCGUCUGUAAAAUAUUUCUUUGUCGAUGUCUGAUAUUUUUAGCAUAAACAGCGAUGCGAAAGUUGUCGAAGCAUGCGAGCGCCCUCUUGUGUUUUCCGUUGAAUAGAGCAUACAUAGUUGCGUAACAAUUUGCAUAUGACAUGCAGUGCGAAAAAGCCUUUUAUUCCGUGCAGUGUCUCAAAAGCAUAGGGCUUCGGACGCACAUUCCGUGAAUUUUUCACUAGUUUUCUUGGAGAGUAAGCAAGCAUGGGUAGGUCACUUGACUGCUUGUCGUUGCUGCUGCCAGCCACACCUUAUUGCGAGCCAGCUUGUCUAUAUUUUGCUGUUUCUCACGUGGUUUUGCCAUGGUUAGCACGCCGCAUGUGCAUACACAUAUCGUGUACAUGCAUAUCGUGUAGUUUGCCCAAACAUCCCGAGGCAUAGGUACACAGGCCGCAACUGCUCCGCUACUGCUUGUAGUUCUGUGGUUCCUGAUGGUCACAAAUAGAGAAGCCUUCUCGAGUAGACCAGUGUAUCCCUUAUCCAGCAUCCAUAAUAUUUGGGUACGUGUAUAAAACAUUAUUGCUUGAAAUGUGCCUAAGAAAUUGGAGAUUUAGAGAUUAAUGUGUUGUAAAAUUAUUGCAUAGCAAGUGCUUAUGGAGAUUAUUUCUCCUUGAUUAAAUUUUUAUGCCUUUAAUAUUUGUAUGCCUCUCGUAAGAAAUGUACUUGUAAAUUCGCAGCAAAAACAUUUCUAUGGAACAAAUCAAUGGAAAUUGAGGUUUAUAGAACCAGUAAAGCAAUUUCUCAAGAUAAGAUAUAACCAAGGAUAAGGAGAGAUGGUUAUUUCAAAUAAUUAAAUAAUUGAAUAUUGGAUUCAUAGUCAUUGUAUAUUUGUAAAUAAAUUAAU